GAUGAACGCUGGCGGCGUGCCUAAUACAUGCAAGUCGAGCGAACGGACGAGAAGCUUGCUUCUCUGAUGUUAGCGGCGGACGGGUGAGUAACACGUGGCUAACCUACCUAUAAGACUGGGAUAACUUCGGGAAACCGGAGCUAAUACCGGAUGAUAUUUUGAACCGCAUGGUUCAAGAGUGAAAGACGCUCUUGCUGUCACUUAUAGAUGGAUCCGCGCUGCAUUAGCUAGUUGGUAAGGUAACGGCUUACCAAGGCAACGAUGCAUAGCCGACCUGAGAGGGUGAUCGGCCACACUGGAACUGAGACACGGUCCAGACUCCUACGGGAGGCAGCAGUAGGGAAUCUUCCGCAAUGGGCGAAAGCCUGACGGAGCAACGCCGCGUGAGUGAUGAAGGUCUUCGGAUCGUAAAACUCUGUUAUUAGGGAAGAACAUAUGUGUAAGUAACUGUGCACAUCUUGACGGUACCUAAUCAGAAAGCCACGGCUAACUACGUG
rnacentral:rRNA from 1 species